UGAUUGAAAUAAAAAAAUAUUAUCCAGUAAUUGAAAAUAUACAUGUUACAAAAUAAUGUCAGUAAUUAAGAGUCUUGGAGGCUUCAUUAAAUGUUUAUGACAGGAGAAAGGUGCAUGAAUCCCCAGCCUUCCUCAUAGUUAAGUAGAAGCAGCUCAUCCCACCCAGUAGGUGGCGACAGCGCUCACAGAGUCAAGCUUUCAAUCAGAAGAGGAGGAAGAUGAAGGAAGAAGAUCUUGGAGAAGGUUGGUGCAGAACGAAGUAGCAGCACGUUGGAUGUCUUCAGGAAAAUGCUUGCGACAGGAACAUUUAAAUUUCAUGUACCAGUAUUAAGAAGUGCAUAUUAAAUAAAUUUAGUAUGUAUAUGUAGCUAGCUAGGUCGCUCUUCUGUUUUUAGCAUGAUUCUGAAACGAGGUUUCGUCCAGUAACGUCAGCUGAAGUUGUGUCUCUGCACAUGGAGGUCCAUGUCCGGUAAUUAGAUCUGAAGAGAAGGGACUCCUCAGAUGGACCUCAGAUGCAUGGUCGACCUGCUGAGGUGAAAGCGAGUUCAGGUGAUUCUUGACACAACUACUUCUACAAAGUGCACCUGACUGGUUUGUUUUGGCUUCUAUUUAAGUUAUUCAUCAUCAAAUAAAUACAAAUUGUG